rnacentral:rRNA from 1 species
UUACUCCUACGGGAGGCAGCAGUGGGGAAUAUUGGACAAUGGGGGCAACCCUGAUCCAGCCAUGCCGCGUGUGUGAAGAAGGCCUUUUGGUUGUAAAGCACUUUAAGCAGUGAAGAAGACUCCGUGGUUAAUACCCACGGACGAGACGAAUCCUCAGGUGUGGACGCAUUCAAC